CAACCCUCAGGCACUGCCUGGUGUUGGGGCACCACCGCUGUGGGCCCCCAAAUUCAGCGGCGGGCACGCCACGGACCCGAGCGUAGUAGCUUACCUCGCUAAGGGUUCCGGGCGGGUUCCGGCCGUUAAACACCCCAAUUCUAA
rnacentral:misc_RNA from 1 species